rnacentral:lncRNA from 1 species
AGGUGCUACUAUGGCUGAGAACAUCUGUUUUGCUCCUUCUCCAUCCUUCGCAUGGCAGGGCACCGUCCUGACACAGACCGAUGCCAUGGCUGCCAGUUGCUCUCUGAGGAGGAGGACAGGGAGUUAUGAAACUUGGAAAGGCCUUUAAUUAAUCUUCCUGCUGUCCAUUCCUGCUCAUGGCCCCCAAGCUGAUUCGGGUGCCUCUGCAGGGCUUUGCUGGGAAGGGCG